GUUAGAUUCUGCAAUUUUUUAGUUAAUUGUAGCAAAAAAAAUUCGUUUUUAUUUUUUUUAAUUGGUAAUUUCUCUUAGGAAUAGUCGAAUUUUGUGUUUAUCUCAGUUCAAAUUAAGUUUCGUUUUUUCAAUUUUUGUUUCAUAUUUCUUCCUUUUUUUUUAAAAGAUUUUUUUGUAUGAUUUGUUAACUGAUUUUUCUGUAAUCAUUUUCCAGGGCUUAAUUGAUAGAUCAGAUGGGGAUUUUGAUUAUAAUAAGUGCUUUAAGGUUCCUAGGACAGGGUUUUUUUUUUCAAUUUAUUUGUUUUUCUGGAGGGGGUGGUGUUGCUUGAGCACUUGCUAAUGCAGCGUCUAUUUGCCUGUGGCCUGUAGUUGCAUAUUUAGGAAUCAAAAUUAAGGGAUCUUUUAUGGUUGGUGCCUUUGAAUCUCCUUCAAGUAAGGCUCUUUUGGUGGUAGCUUACUUUUACCAUCAUGCUUAUAUACAAGUUUCAUCAACUCAUACUGAUUAAUCUGAGUUUUGAUUUUGUUUUUGACUUCCCAAUUAAGAUGAAGUUUUUGACUCUAAUUAACAAUUAUGUUUAUUUUUCAAAUAUUUUGAUAUGUGAUUGUUUUGUAAAUUGAUCUUUAAAUGUUGAAGUGUUGAUAGUGACAUUAAAUAUUUUGAUAAUACUGUUUUAAUUGAGAUCAGAUUAUAAAUUAAUGGGAAAGUUGAACUCUAGGUCCUGUGUUUUGCAAAUUUUUAUUUUUGUGCCUCAGAAGAAUAGAAUAAUGGUUUUGAAUAUGCAAAACAUGAUAAAAUUGUUUUCUUGGUGUUAAUGUAACUCAUUUCUUGUUUUGACAGAUAUGCUUGUUUAAGAAGGCACCUCCUUGUUGAUCCACAUUUGCCAAAAGAUGGAAGAAAUUCUCCUAACCUUGCUAUAGACAAUCCAUUAUCACAAAACCCAGAUAGCACCUGGGGACGCUUCUUUCGGAAUGCAGAACUAGAAAAAACAGUUGACCAGGAUUUAUCGCGAUUAUAUCCUGAACAUGGGAACUAUUUCCAAUCUACUGGAUGUCAGGGAAUGUUAAGAAGAAUUUUGUUAUUGUGGUGCCUUAGACAUCCUGAGUAUGGUUAUAGACAAGGAAUGCAUGAACUUUUGGCUCCAUUACUAUAUGUUCUUCAUGUUGAUGUGGAGCGACUCUCUGAAGUGCGGAAGGAGUAUGAAGACCAUUUCACUGACAAAUUUGAUGGCUUAUCAUUUCAAGAGAAUGAUCUUAUGUACAACUUUGAUUUCAAAAAGUAUUUAGAUUCCAUGGAAGAUGAGAUUGGUUCUCAUGGUAAUGCCACCAAAGUUAGGAGUCUUGAUGAACUUGAUCCUGAGAUACAAACCAUUGUAUUGCUAAGUGAUGCUUAUGGGGCUGAAGGUGAAUUGGGAAUUGUUUUGUCUGAGAAAUUUAUGGAACAUGAUGCUUACUGUAUGUUUGAUGCUUUGAUGAAUGGGGCUCAUGGUGCAGUUGCCAUGGCAGACUUUUUCUCUCCAUCCCCUGUAGGUGGGUCUCAUUCUGGGUUACCUCCUGUUAUUGAAGCUUCUGCUGCUUUGUACCAUUUGCUGUCCGUUGUUGAUUCAUCUUUACACAGCCACCUUGUUGAGCUUGGUGUUGAACCACAGUACUUUGCACUUCGCUGGUUGCGGGUUUUAUUUGGACGAGAAUUUUCACUUGAAAACCUCUUGCUAAUAUGGGAUGAAAUAUUUGCAGCAGAUAAAAAUAAAUUAGAGAAAGGUGCAGAAGAUGAUACAGGUUCCACUUUUGGUAUUUUCAGUUCACCUCAGGGGGCAUUGAUCUCAGCUUUUGCAGUUUCUAUGAUACUUUAUUUGAGAUCUUCACUACUUUCCACUGAAAAUGCUACUAUCUGUCUCCAAAGACUAUUAAAGUUUCCUGAGAAUAUAGAUCUGAGAAAACUUAUAGGUAAGGCAAAGUCUUUGCAGCCUCUUGCAUUGGGGCCUAGUAUCUCAUCCUCUUCCCCACGUUGUGGUGGGGCUUAUAACCAUAGUAAGUCAAUGGUGGUGAGAAGUCAUACACUUCCAUCUGAUUCUAUUUCUCCCAAAACUCCUCUAAACAUGGUGCCUGACAGCUAUUGGGAAGAGAAGUGGAGAGUUUUGCACAAAGCAGCAGAACAAAGGAAUGGUAGUUCAGGAAAACAAAAUCCGACUCCAAAAAAAGGAUGGACAGAAAAAGUAAGAUUAAGUCUAUCUAGAACAGCAUCUGACCCAUCUCCAGCAAAAGCUGGGUGUGGCAAUGAUCACAAGCCAUCUGUUAGGCGCCGUUUACUUGAAGAUUUAUCUCAGGAACUUGGCCUGGAUGAAGAUACUGAGAAAGCAGGCUGCGAUGAAGUUUCAGGGCAGAAGGACCAUAUCUGCAAAGUAGUUGAGGUGGAGAAUCAAGAUGGUGUAAAUAAUGACUUCACUUGUGUAGCUGAGGAGAGAUGUCUAAGUGGGAUUGCUGGCAGUGAGGAAAACUCAUCUGUAUUCUCAGACCCAUCUAGUCCGCUCAGUGGUGCUAACAAUCAUGAAAAUGACUCGGAGAAAAGUAGUGUUGCUUCAAAUUCGUCCAUUGAUGAAACAGAUGAUCAUCCUGAGGCUAACCAUGAAGAUACAACACUUCCUGUUUCCCAUCUCCCUAAUAAUGCCACUCUAAAUUCUGGGGACAACAAUGAGGCCACUGGAAAGUCUCUGGCAGUUCCAAAGGAGCGGAAGCUUCUUUCAGGUAAAUUCCAAUGGUUUUGGAAGUUUGGUCGGAGUAAUGAUGGCGAGGAGACAUCUGAAAAAGGAAAUGGGGCACUUGAUGCUACAAAAUCUGCUAAUGAUGCUGGUAGUCAGAGCAGUACAGUAUGCUCUUCUGUUGAUGGAUCGUGCUAUUCUAGUGCAACAGGAGAUCUUGUGGACCAGAAUAUGAUGGGUUCUUUGAGGAAUCUUGGCCAUUCUAUGCUAGAACAUAUUCAGGUGACAUUGAUUUUUGGUGCUUUCGAAGUUGUUUUCUUUUAUGUUUCAAGCAGAGGUGCUUCUUUAAGGGCAUACAACAUGGGUGAAAUUUGUUAAAGCAUGAAAAUAAACUGAUGGGAUUUUUUUGGGGAAAGUUUGACCGGAGGGUUGUAGACAGUUUUUCUUUGUACAGGCCAUAAAUUAUUUAAUCUGUUUGUUUAAAGGGUGUAAUAACUGGUCAUGGUAACACAAUGAAAAUUUUUUGGGGAGCUUAUUGGGUUUGCUGGUUUUUAUUUUUAUUUUUUAUUCUUGAAUAUCAUAGACAACUGAUAUAUGGCUUUGGAAAUUUUUGGUGUUCUCCAGUUUUAUCCAACCUUAUUUUGUCUAAUGGUGGGUGUUUCACAUUCAUUGUUGACACAAUUAAUAUUAGUUGUCUCAAAUUUAUCAUUCCUCCCAUUCUAGAUAUGGGGAGAGGAUGUCCUAGGAGUUUCCUUUGAAUUGUUAUAGAUACUCCUUUAACUAUAUUCAAAGUAAUAAUGGGGCAUAUAAAUUUUAUUCAUGGCAUUAGCAAUGCCAACACUUUGUUAAUCAAUUUGUCUUGCAGGUAAUAGAGUCUGUUUUCCAGCAAGAUAGGGUUCAGGUAGGGUCAUCAGAUAAUUUCUCCAAAAAUGUACUAGUAGGCAAAGGACAAGUUACAGCUAUGACAGCUCUUAAGGAGCUUCGGAAAAUCAGCAAUCUUCUAUCCGAAAUGUGAGUUGAGCUUUAAUUACAUAUACCUGUAUAUACCUUUUGUAAUUACUAUUCUUUUAGUGCAUAAUAAAGUGAGCUUCUGGCUUCUUUCUUAUAUUCUUCUGAAAAAUCCAAAUUUUUGCAAGAGAUACUCAGAUGUAAAUAUGAGCUUUCAUCACAAUCUUGUAAUUUAAUGCCUUGUGAUACCCUAGUUUGAGUGGUUCAUAGUCUCUGUGGACUUGAUUCUUGGCUUUUGCUGAUGAUAUAUUUUAUGGUAGAUAAUAAUUUGCGGAAUGUAAUAUGUAGGAUGCUAGAUUUAUGUGUAAUCAUGGUUUUUUGUUAUGAACUUAUAAUUGAAUGGCUAAUUAUAACUUCAUAAAAGUCUAUGUUGAUGUGUGAUAUGUGAAGAAUUCAUGUUGUAGGGUGCAUUGUAUGAUUAUUUUAACAUAAAAAUAGGACUGAGGAAUGAGUGAGAAUGUGUUCUGUAAGUCUUUUGUUAUAGUAGAUAAAGAAGCUGAGACAUUUACAUGAAACUUUGUUGCCUUUCAGCUCUAUUAGACACCAAGUCUGCAUAAAUAUCGAUAACUUAUAAAUCCUCUGUUAUUGCUUUCCUCCACAGCAUUUUGGGCUUCCCCUUUUCCCAUAUCCCUCCCUUCCUCUACUAGUUUCAGAUUUAAGGCCUAGUUGUUGUUGACUAUUGUUCUUUCUUCACAUUCUUGAUGAUGCUCAAACAAGCCAUAGCAUGCUUAGAGUGAGAUGAAAACUAGCCUUAGCCUUAGGGAUACUCGGAAAAUGAACCAUUCUUAGCUAAUUCGUAGGCUAGAGCUGGUACAACUCUCCCAGUAUAUCGGUUUAAGCAUAUGCUGAAGCCAUAUAUAAUUGCUGUUUGCAUUCGUUUAGAUUCAAAUGUCCAGAAAAUUGUUUUGCAAGUGCCAUGAUUCCUUGAGCUUGUCGAUGAUCUGAAAUCGAGCCAAAAUAUCGGGUAAUUGCGAAAGAAUUUGCUUGUUAUGGUGACUCGCUAUGAUGAACAAUGUUGUAAUGAAUAAUAACAUUUUAUAAUGCUGCAUUCUUUCUGUAUUUCCAUUAUCCACUUUCCAAUGUGCUGUGGCUGGCUAGGCUUAAAUAGGAUCACUAGGAUCCAUUUCUUGGCAAUUUCGGUUUUGGAUCAAUUCUGAUUUGGUUUCAUUUUGAGCCGGUUGAAAUUGAAUUUUUCAAUUAAGUAAAAAAAUAAAUUACGUAUUUUUGAAUGAAAUUUAUUGUAUAUAUUAAGAUGGAAUAUAAAAUAAUUGAAUUUGAAGGAUAUAUAUGGAAUUAAUAGGAAUUCUUGUGUAUGUAUGUUUUAGUUCAAAACGAUAGAAAAAAUUGGUGCAAAUGAAAUGCAAGAAAUUACAUGGUAAUUUUUUACAUGUAGGAACUUGAAAUGAAAAUAUUAAAAAAAAAUUUAAAAUUGAAAAUAUUCAAUCGAUUAUAAUUGAACUAUAUUAAAUAAAAUAUUUAAUAAGAAAAUAUAUAUUUUGUAAUUAAUAAAAUUAUAAUUAAUUAAUAGAAAUUUGGUAAUUUCGUUGGUUCAAUUCUAAUGUUAAGAUAUAAGAAUUAAUAUGCCAAUGAUGCAGUUCUCUAUAAAAGAAAACCCCCUCCCUGUUUCAUAGUUGUUUGGCUUUUGUGCCAACAAGUAGGUCUAAAGAUAAAAUAUCCUUAGCAUCCAGCAAUUCCAAGAAUUCACUGAUUCAAAUUCCAGGAUCCCUGAACUACAAAUGGAAUUCUAUCAAGACUAUUUAGGUUGAGGGCUGCCUCCUAAUGACACGGGGCUUCGAACAGAGCUUCACAAUGGGGUGCAAUUGGGGCGAUAGCAAGAAAUGGAAAUCAAAGGCCAGAAGGAUAAAGUUGCAAGAAGAUUUCAGGAAUAACAGAUCCCUCAGUACCAGAAGCUUUGGCGUGCAGAGAAGCGCUGCUAUUAGCUAGUAGGAGGAAGUUUAAUUCGAUCAUAGUUGAAGGUGACUCUCGGUGAUGCAAGCUGUUCAGGGUAUUUCCUCCUUCCUUUCGAUUGAAGGAAUUGUGAAAGAUAUCUUGCAUUUAUCCCAACAG
rnacentral:misc_RNA from 1 species